GGGAGUUUGACGUAGAUGAUGAUUCAAUAAAUUAAUUACCACUCUGCAAAUUAGGGAGUGAAUUGUGAACGUGUUAGCCUGAGUUGCUUGUUCUUAGCCUGAGGAUAAGGCUCCCUGUGCAUUUUGUUUCUCCCUUGCUAUCAGCCUUGAAUAUGUUAAUCCUCUCCCUAAAACACACACACACACACACACACACACACUGACAUUCCUACUCCCUCAUCAGGAACAGCACGAUUUGCAAUAUUGAAUUGAUUGCUUCAGGGAACAGAUCUGUGCUUGAGAUAACUGGCAGAGCACAAAGCCAUUUCCUACCUGCGCCUGUGGAGUGGCUGCUCAGGGUGAGGGGAAGAGGGAUGUUGUCGGGUGGAAACCAGGAGCCGGCUGCUGCCGGCAGCAGGACUGCCCUAACAGCAGCCAGAGUAGCUUUGUUGGCAGGAACACACAAAAGGAACCUCUGUGAAGCUGAAGUGGCUGAGCCCAUCCGGGCUGAAGGGCUCUUAUCUCACAUUUCUGAGGCAGUGUCAGCCAACCUGGAGCAUAAUCCUGGCCUCCAGCAACUUGGUGUUUGCUAUCCUGUUAUCAUCCUCAGCUGCUACAUGGCAACCAACACAUGGGGAUCUGGACCUUCAAAGUGGAAGAUGAGAGAGUUCCAUUGCUGUGGGUCUGACUGUCGUGUAGACUUCCCGAACUUUGUGGACUGCCUGUGA
ensembl:lncRNA